rnacentral:rRNA from 1 species
GUGGGGAAUAUUGGACAAUGGGCGGAAGCCUGAUCCAGCCAUGCCGCGUGUGUGAAGAAGGCCUUUUGGUUGUAAAGCACUUUAAGCGAGGAGGAGGCUCUUAAGGUUAAUACCCUUGAUGAGUGGACGUUACUCGCAGAAUAAGCACCGGCUAACUCUGUGCCAGCAGCCGCGGUAAUACAGAGGGUGCGAGCGUUAAUCGGAUUUACUGGGCGUAAAGCGUGCGUAGGCGGCUGAUUAAGUCGGAUGUGAAAUCCCUGAGCUUAACUUAGGAAUUGCAUUCGAUACUGGUCAGCUAGAGUAUGGGAGAGGAUGGUAGAAUUCCAGGUGUAGCGGUGAAAUGCGUAGAGAUCUGGAGGAAUACCGAUGGCGAAGGCAGCCAUCUGGCCUAAUACUGACGCUGAGGUACGAAAGCAUGGGGAGCAAACAGGAUUAGAAACCCGUGUAGUCC